rnacentral:piRNA from 1 species
GGGACAGCUGGUUGUUGCCACAAGGU